GCGGCGUCCUGGAGGGCCCGGCGGCGGCGGCGGCGGCGGCGUCCUGGAGGGCCCGGCGGCGUCCUGGAGGGCCCGGCGGCGGCGGCGUCCUGGAGGGCCUGGUGGCGGCGGCUCCUCAUCCAAAGGAAUGAGGCGACGUUGCGGAGGUCCAGGCGGUUGGCCCGGUGGAGGUCCUGGAGGAGACGGUCCCGGCGGUGGAGGACAGCUGGGGGAUCCGGCGGUGGAGGUCCGAAGGCGGCUCGUGAUUAGACCAACCAGCUCCUCAUCCAUGGAAGGAUUGAAGGAGUCACUGGGGAUGAAGAUCACUGCUCAGGGGCUGACGACCACUCAUCUUUCCGGAGAAGCGUCCUCAUGGUGCAGGCGGUCAAACCUCCACCUCUUUGAAGAGACCAAGCAGCUUGAUGACUGACACUGGUUCUUUACACUCAAGACCUCGUCCCGGAGCAGAGGACGGACCUAAGGCCCGCAGCGCAACCGACUAGAGACUCCAUGUGGAACCGGUAAGAUACUGGAUUGACCAUCUUGAAGACAUUUUCAUUUAUUCAACAAGGUUAGUUUUGUUUGGCGGGUAUGUUGCUUUGAUACUAGGGGCUUCUUCUGUAACAAACUUUCUAGAGAAUAAGAUCUGACUUCAGCCAAUCAGCGGGAUGUCCUUGAAAAAGAGCCAAUGGCUGAAGGUGCUCAAACGCAUUCUUUUGACUCGCUCCUCUACUAUUGCUGUAAUCAAGCUGGAUGGCUAUUUUGCUCCUUCUACUGACAAAAUCAAGUCUGCCACCUGGUGGCUGAGGGCGUAGCAACUCGGGGUACAUUGGAAACAUGAUAAGAAGAGCCUGUUUUUGAUGGUUGGAUCGUACACCUAAAUGUUUUUACAUCAAAAUAUCGCCGAACCCCAUGUUGGACAAUGCUUGUUUUCAUCCUUUCUAUGUUUAGCUUUGAUUUAUCCUUACCUUUUCUUGUGACCCAUUCCCCUUAGGCUCAAUUAAGUUGACCUCUCUUUCAGGCGACUUAAAGGGAGACCAGAUGUGCGGCAGCUGGGUGUCAUGGUGCAGAGACCCAACGCUGUACUGAACUACACCAGUGUGUCCUACUCCCAUAAACCCUGAGGAUCCCUGGAUGGCUACACCAGCACAUUAAUCCACACCCAACAUCAACACACGGUGCACACUCUAUAGAGCUCGUAAGUCCGCCCCUUGCGGCGGGACCUCGUGAGAUCGUAAGAUAUGACUGGGUUUCAAUGGAGAGAAAGUAAUUAUUUUCUCCAUUUUAUGUUGCACCACAUUUUGGGGGAAGAAUGUUUGAAUCAAUCUUUGUCAUUUAUUUCUGUACUCCAUAUCUGUAAUCCCAGCUGUUGUAUUUUAACACAGUAGCUGGGAACCCUCUUUAUAGGGAGCGACUAGAGGGACGAGGCUGGAAGCAAACCUGAGCCUGGAUCUUAACCUUCUUUCUAAACCUAAUGCCGCAAUUAAACCGCAAAUAAAGUGAGGCCUAAAGUAACUUGACUCUCUUACCUAAACUCGCUUGUCUAAACUCGCUUGCAUAAAACCUAAACUCGCUUGCAUAAAACCUGAACUUGCUUGGCUAAACUCUCAUCGCUUGCCUAAUACCUGAACUUGCUUGCCUAAACUCGCUUGCCUAAUACCUGAACUCGCUUGCCUGAACUCGCUUGCCUAAACUCGCUUGCCUAAUACCUGAACUCGCUUGCCUAAUACCUGAACUCGCUUGCCUAAUACCUGAACUCGCUUGCCUGAACUCGCUUGCCUGAACUCGCUUGCCUGAACUCGCUUGCCUGAACUCGCUUGCCUGAACUCGCUUGCCUGAACUCGCUUGCCUGAACUCGCUUGCCUAAACUCGCUUGCCUAAACUCGCUUGCCUAAACUCGCUUGCCUAAACUCGCUUGCCUAAACUCGCUUGCCUAAACUCGCUUGCCUAAACUCGCUUGCCUAAACUCGCUUGCCUAAACUCGCUUGCCUAAACUCGCUUGCCUAAACUCGCUUGCCUAAAACCUAAACUCGCUUAGCUUGACUCGCUGGCCUGUACUCGCUUUGCUAAACUCGCUUGCAUAAAACCUAAACUCGCUUAGCUUGACUCGCUUAGCUUGACUCGCUUGCCUAAUACCUGAAGUCGCUUGCCUAAUACCUGAAGUCGCUUGCCUAAUACCUGAAGUCGCAUGCCUAAACUCGCUUGCCGAAAACCUAAACUUGCUUGUCCAAACACGUUACACAAAGUUAACCAUCCAUAAUCUUUAACCCAAACCAGACUUGUCCCUGGGUCGCUCCACUUUAAUUUAGAGGUUUCUUCUUUUACCUCAUCUGCGUUUUGAGUUUCAUUCUUUGAGGGCUUGAAGUGCUUUGGAGGAUAUUUGAACCUUUGUUUGCCGCAUCAAUAAACAUGCUUUAUCUUUACCCAUUUUGUUUUGGAUUGCAUUUCUAUGUGUAAUCCGGCCAAAUGUUCAGUGUCCUUACAUGUAAUGUCUAUGGUCUGACGAUAAUCUGACCUCUUCAUGAAGCAGAAUGUGUGUGAAUGUUGUCCCGUGAGCUCCAGGCUCUCUGUGGGCCUGUCAACGUCUCUUUAGCAAAAGGUUGGAGAGUGAAA